UAUAGAGCGCCGCAUCCCAGAGUAAUAAGUGCCCUCGGACGUGCGAACAGCGACACCCGCUGGUGGGAGUGCUCUCUGCUGACACCUGAUGCCCGUAUCAGGAACUGUCCAGAGCAGGAGAAAAUGUCAAAAAGAAAAAUGAAGAAGGAAGGCUGACAUCUCUAACUUCACUCCUCACGUCUACCAAAAAGUAUGCUAAGAGAUCGACAUGGCGGUCGAUCCGGACGGAGAAGAAAAGGAAAGAGGACACCGCUGAUCAGAAAAUACGUAAUUAAUCCACCGUGACCUUAAAUUCUCUGCGAUAGAGGAUGUGAUGGUGACUCUACAGCUGAGCGGGUCUGGAGGAAGCUGCUUCCUGUUUUGUAGACACUCAAUGCCACGGAACAAUGGGUGGAAGAAAUAUUGUACUAUACAGACUGAAGUGUCUGGCAGUCAGGAAAAGUCUUUUUUUUUUUUUCGAUUUCCACAAACCCACUUGGACGAAUUCCCUAAGAGAGGUAAACACAACAGGAGCACUCUGACCCCUCCUCUAGGGCACAUUUCAAUAAAGUUUUCUUGUAAUAACAUCACUUUGGUGGAAACGUUCCUUAUAAUGAUAUCCUCAAAUUGCCAAUUGACUACCCUGCCUCCAUCCUAACCAAUGGUUGGUAAAAAUUCCCUGCCUCCAGCUAUGGAAGCAUCCAUGAGCCCGACACUGCCAGAGCCUCUGUGGGAAGGUCCGAAGCUGAAGGGAUCAAGAGUGACAAAAGUAAAGGAUGGAAAGAGAAAAGAAGGGAAGAAAGAAAAGUAAAUGAUAAAUCUGGGGCCUAAGUUAACUCAGGGGUCAGAUUUGGGGUCAGAGUUAACUUAGUGGUCUGGUGUCUGAUGGUGUUUAGCAGUCUGGUCUGAGAUCUGGACUUAGUGGUCUGACUGGGGUCUUAAUUUAUUUAGGGGUCUGUUCUGGGGUCAGAGAUAACUUAGAGGUUUGGGAUGAGAUCUGGAUUUAGUUAGUGGUCUGAUUGGGGUCUGAAUUUAUUUAGGGGUCUAUUCUGGGGUCAGAGAUAACUUAGAGGUUUGGGAUGAGAUCUGGAUUUAGUUAGUGGUCUGAUUGGGGUCUGAAUUUAUUUAGGGGUCUAUUCUGGGGUCAGAGAUAACUUAGAGGUUUGGGAUGAGAUCUGGAUUUAGUUAGUGGUCUGACUGGGGUCUGAAUUUAUUUAGGAGUCUGUUCUGGGGUCAGAGAUAACUUAAAAGUUUGGGAUGAGAUCUGGGUUUGACUAGUGGUCUGAUUGGAA